rnacentral:ncRNA from 1 species
UGGAGCCGUGUGCGGGGAAACUCGCAAGCACGGUUCUUAGGGAGGGGUGGGCCAGCAAUGGCCCAUCCCUAC